UACGUAGGGGGCAAGCGUUGUCCGGAAUUAUUGGGCGUAAAGAGCGCGUAGGCGGUCCGAUAAGUCGGCUGUGAAAGUCAGGGGCUCAACCCUUGAAAGCCGGCCGAUACUGUCGGACUAGAGUCCGGAAGAGGCAAGUGGAAUUCCUGGUGUAGCGGUGAAAUGCGCAGAUAUCAGGAAGAACACCCGUGGCGAAAGCGGCUCUCUGGAACGGUACUGACGCUGAGACGCGAAAGCGUGGGGAGCGAACAGG
rnacentral:rRNA from 1 species